rnacentral:rRNA from 1 species
AUGACGGCCCUAUGGGUUGUAAACUGCUUUUGUACGGGAAGAAACCCCACUACGUGUAGUGGGUUGACGGUACCGUGAGAAUAAGGAUCGGCUAACUUCGUGC